rnacentral:rRNA from 1 species
GACGAACGCUGGCGGCGUGCUUAACACAUGCAAGUCGAACGAAGUGGCGAACGGGUGAGUAACGCGUAAUCAACCUGCCCUUCAGCGGGGGACAACAGUUGGAAACGACUGCUAAUACCGCAUACUGAAGGAGGGGAUUGUGUCUGAUUGGCUAGUUGGAGGGGUAACGGCCCACCAAGGCGAUGAUCAGUAGCCGGUCUGGGGGGAUGAACGGCCACAUGGGGACUGAGACACGGCCCAGACCCUUACGGGAGGCAGCAGUGGGGAAUCGUCCGAAAUGGAGGAAAGUCUGACGGAGCAACGCCGCGGGAGUGAUGACGGCCUUCGGGUUGGAAAGCUCUGUUAAUCGGGACGCGGUACCGGAAUAGAAAGCCACGGCUAACUACGUGCCAGCAGCCGCGGUAAUAC